rnacentral:rRNA from 1 species
GAUGAACGCUGGCGGCGUGCCUAAUACAUGCAAGUCGAGCGAACAGAUGAGGAGCUUGCUCCUCUGACGUUAGCGGCGGACGGGUGAGUAACACGUGGAUAACCUACCUAUAAGACUGGGAUAACUUCGGGAAACCGGAGCUAAUACCGGAUAAUAUAUUGAACCGCAUGGUUCAAUAGUGAAAGACGGUUUUGCUGUCACUUAUAGAUGGAUCCGCGCCGCAUUAGCUAGUUGGUAAGGUAACGGCUUACCAAGGCAACGAUGCGUAGCCGACCUGAGAGGGGGAUCGCCCACACUGGAACGGAGCCACGGUCCAGACUCCUACGGGAGGCAGCAGUAGGGAAUCUUCCGCAAUGGGCGAAAGCCUGACGGAGCAACGCCGCGUGAGUGAUGAAGGUCUUCGGAUCGUAAAACUCUGUUAUUAGGGAAGAACAAAUGUGUAAGUAACUAUGCACGUCUUGACGGUACCUAAUCAGAAAGCCACGGCUAACUACGUG